ensembl:antisense Gm17202 predicted gene 17202
AGUGUGAACUAGGCUCUCUUCUGGAUCUGGGAGCAGUCACCAUCCGGACCAUGCUGCACUGAGGAUUCCUGCUGUGUUCACUAACUGGAAUGCCCAUAUCAGUCCAUUCACUAUGUCAGGCUGGUCUUGCUGAAGCCAGUGGCUACCUUCUGACAAAAUGGCAUCUCCUUCCCACACUGCGAUCUGAGUGUUUCAUAUACGCUCUCCUUUCCUGCCUGCUCCCUCUGUCACAUCUGUGUUUCUAACAGUGGACUAUAUCAGUGCCCAAGACUUCACGCCACAUUUGGGAGAUGACUAACCCCAGAAAAGGAAAGGACUGGGAACAAGAGAAGAAUGCUGCAGACAUCAAGGAUAUGGGAGCAUAGACAAGAAAGGAAGAGAGAAAAGCUAAAUCCCUGCAAGUAUGAGGGGAAGACAGCACAAGUCAAAGCUGGCCAUGGACUCUGUCUCUGGCGUGUCAUUGCCCUUGAUUCCACCACCUUACUAAGAAAACAAGGCCCAAGGGCUGAGGUUGCAGAGCAGUGGCAGAGCAUUUGCCUUUCAAGCAUGAGACCCGAGCUUCAGUCCCCAGCACUGCCGUCCCUUCCCCUAAAUGAGGUCCAAGUAAGUCACAUAAGUCAUGAAGGUCAUGGGAGUCAUGAGCGGGCUAAGGAUGUAGCUCAGUGGCAGAGCACUCGCCUGGCAUGACCAAUGUGUCCCCCGGCGUCACUAAAUAAACAAGUUAAGAGGAAUGAAGUAUACAGGUGACUAGAGUCACCACUAUUUCUUCCUUCUGCUUUUGAGGGGAAAAGAGAGUAAUUCUGAGGAAUCCAGGAAGAGUCAUAAGCUGUGUUUCAUCCUUAAGUUGGACAGAAUUAACAAAUGUGACUUGGCUGUUAUCUUUUAAAAAUUAUUUUAGUGGUGGUGAGUCUUGGAAGAAUAAAAUGCCAGGGCCACCAGAUUGGAUUUAAU